UUUUAUAUCUGUACCUUGUUUGAGCUCAUCAAAUUUUUGGAGUUUUUUAAAAAUAUGAUUAAAUGGCUUGUAUUUAAUUUUGUUCAGUUUUAGGUACCUGUUAUCUGCUACUUGCAACUUUCCUUGUUGGAAAUUAUUUAGAUGUCCUGUAGGUAUACCAUUUAUGGGGCCACUGGAAACCUCUCUGGAAACUGCUUCAUACUGGUUACGGAAAUUCUUCCUUCGAUGGCGAAUUUUCUUUCUCUGGAUUUUGAGAACAAACAAUUUUCGACUUUGCUGGUCAUCUCCAGGUACUUGUAAAGCCAACUUUAGUUUUGACAUUUGAUAAAAAAAUUUCAUAUAUGAAGUUCAUUUAAGAUAUCUUCAUACAGUUACUCGUCUUCCCAAAAUAUGCAUUCCAGAUUCAUCUAUGGAUAUUGGGCUUUUAUUUGAUAUACAUCACUCUAGGUUUAAAUUCUGUUUUCUCACUGUACUGAGUGUUAACAAGUGUCGA